UAGUCCACGCCGUAAACUAUGAUCACUAGAUGUUGGCGAUAUAUUGUCAGUGUUUUAGAGAAAUCGUUAAGUGAUCCACCUGGGGAGUACGUUCGCAAGAAUGAAACUCAAAGGAAUUGACGGGGGCCCGCACAAGCGGAGGAGCAUGUGGUUUAAUUCGAUGAUACGCGAGGAACCUUACCAAGACUUAAAUGUAUAUUGCUAGAUUGAGAAAUCAAUUUUUCUUCGGACAAUUUACAAGGUGCUGCAUGGUUGUCGUCAGCUCGUGCCGUGAGGUGUCGGGUUAAGUCCCAUAACGAGCGCAACCCCUAUUUCUAGUUACCAGCGAGUAAUGUCGGGAACUCUAGAAAGACUGCCUGUGUAAACAGUGAGGAAGGUGGGGAUGAUGUCAAAUCAUCACGGCCCUUAUGUCUUGGGCUACACACGUGCUACAAUGGUCACUACAGUGGGCUGCCAUCUGGUGACAGAGAGCAAAUCCAUAAAGGUGAUCCCAGUUCGG
rnacentral:rRNA from 1 species